CACUUGGAAUCUAGUAUUGUGUAAGUGUUGAUGAUGCUACCAGAUUUGAAGGAAUCACAAAUAUUUUUUGUAUCUAGUAUCUGCUGGUGAUUGAAGUGUUUCCAAAAACACUUGGUGCCCUGAUCUGUAAUGACACUGUUACACAUGUUAUCAUUUUUUUUUGUCUCCUAUAUGAAGAAAGCUACAAUCUCUGUAGUAUAAGGUCU
rnacentral:lncRNA from 1 species